rnacentral:rRNA from 1 species
GCGUGCCUAAUACAUGCAAGUCGAACGAAGAAUGCUUUGCUUGCAUUGCAUUUCUUAGUGGCGAACGGGUGAGUAACGCGUUGGUGACCUGCCCCGAAGAGGGGAAUAGCAGCUGGAAACGGCUGGUAAUGCCCCAUAAUGUCUCUCAGGUUAGAGGCUGAGUGAUUAAAGGAGCAAUCCACUUCGGGAGGGGCCUGCGUCCCAUCAGCUAGUUGGUAGGGUAAAAGCCUACCAAGGCGAUGACGGGUAGGGGACCUGAGAGGGUGACCCCCCACACUGGAACUGAAACACGGUCCAGACACCUACGGGUGGCAGCAGUAGGGAAUAUUGCUUAAUGGGCGAAAGCCUGAAGCAGCAACGCCGCGUGUGCGAUGAAGGUCUUCGGAUUGUAAAGCACUUUUUGAGGGGAUGAGGAAGGACAGUACCCUCAGAAUAAGCCUCGGCUAACUACGUGCCAGCAGCCGCGGUAAAACGUAGGAGGCAAGCGUUAUCCGGAUUUACUGGGCGUAAAGCGCGUGUAGGCGGCGCGGUAAGUUGGAUGUGAAAGCUCCCGGCUUAACUGGGAGAGGUCGUUCAAUACUGUCGUGCUAGAGGAUGGGAGAGGGAGGUGGAAUUCCGGGUGUAGUGGUGAAAUGCGUAGAUAUCCGGAGGAACACCAGUGGCGAAGGCGACCUCCUGGCCCAUUUCUGACGCUCAGACGCGAAAGCUAGGGGAGCGAACGGGAUUAGAGACCCCGGUAGUCCUAGCUGUAAACGAUGUAGACUUGGCGUCGGUGGGGUAAAAUCCAUCAGUGCCGAAGCAAACGCGAUAAGUCUACCGCCUGUGGACUACGGGCGCAAGGCUAAAACUCCAAAGAAUUGACGGGGGCCCGCACAAGCAGCGGAGCUGUGUGGUUUAAUUCGAUGGUACACGAAGAACCUUACCAGGGUUUGACAUGUUGGUUGUAGGAAACUGAAAAGGGACCGACCCUUCGGGGAGCCAUCACAGGUGCCUGCAUGGCUGUCGUCAGCUCGUGUCGUGAGAUGUUCGGUUAAGUCCGCUUAACGAGCGCAACCCUCGCCGUGUGUUAUAUGUGUCACACGGGACCGCCGGUCACAAACCGGAGGAAGGUGAGGAUGACGUCAAGUCAGCAUGGCCUUUAUAUCCUGGGCUACACACAUGCUACAAUGGCCAGCACAAUAGGUAGCGAAGUCGCGAGGCGGAGCCAAUCCCUAAAGUUGGCCUCAGUUCAGAUUGUAGGCUGCAACCCGCCUGCAUGAAGUCGGAGUUGCUAGUAACCGCAGGUCAGCAAUACUGCGCGUGAUACGUUCCCGGGCCUUGUACACACCGCCCGUCACGUCAUGGAAGCUGGCAACACCUGAAGCCGGUAUCCUAACCCG